CGCCCACCCCACUGUGGAUCUCUCUCUCUUUCGCUAUCUCUCCCUCUCUCUCUCUCCUCGUCUCUCUUUCCUCUGUUAAUUCAGUUCUGGACAGCGCCGGGUACUGAUGCUGCUGCCCGUGUAGUCGCAUCUAUCCUGGGGGCCUCCUCCCACUCAUCCCAGCUCGAGAAUCCGCAUGUAGAGUCGUUCGGUGUCUGUCGCAGAAAAAAAGUCUCCGCAGUACUGCAUCGGAAUAAGGGCUCAGUGCACAAAUCUUCUUCAACUGUAUUCGUGGCUGUGAGUGUGGCGCUUUUCUGCAUCAGCGCAAAGGAAGUUCUGUUCAGUCGUGCGGUGGGUGAUGCUGUGAGAUGCGUCGUGUUUAGCGCACGGAACCCCGAUUUAUUUGCCCAGACGGGAGAAUAGAAGAAGCCAACAGUGCAUGUGGGCACGUUUUAACUUUGAUUCGGAUUUUUUUCAGGAUGUUUUGACGGGUGCUCUCCUAACGGGUUGACUGAAGAUUUCGCCUUCAAGAGAAGCCCAUUCGAGGCAAAAAAAAAGCAGUUUCAAAGGAGGACAAGCAGCCUCUCCGCACGGGAUUUAAACCUACUGUCUCUUCGGCAUCUUUUUCAAUCGAGAGAGGAUAGCUAUUAACAGAAGGAGACAUGAAAGUUUUUCCGGCAGUAUUGUUUCUGAUCACAUUUUGGAGUCUGGAGUGGGAACCUGUUCUUCCCGAUUCAAUCAUUCACAUCGGGGCCAUUUUUGAUGAGUCUGCCAAAAAGGACGAUGAGGUGUUCCGAAUGGCAGUGGCGGAUCUCAACCUCAACAAUGAAAUCCUGGAGACAGAGAAGAUCACUGUGUCCGUGGAGUUUGUAGAUGGAAACAACCCUUUCCAGGCAGUGCAGGAAGCAUGCGAGUUGAUGAACAGAGGGAUCCUAGCCUUGGUCAGUUCUAUCGGCUGCAUGUCCGCAGGCUCGCUGCAGUCUUUAGCUGAUGCCAUGCACAUCCCUCACCUCUUCAUCCAGAGGGCACCCGCGGGCACUCCUCGCUCCAGCUGCCCACCCACAACUCGUGCACAACCCGAUGACUACACCCUCUUCGUCCGCCCUCCCGUCUAUCUAAAUGACGUCAUCUUCCAAGUGGUGAUGGAGUACACUUGGCAGAAGUUCAUUAUCUUCUAUGACACAGACUAUGAUAUCCGGGGCAUAGAAAACUUCCUGGACCAGACGUCUCAGCAGGGGAUGGAUGUGUCUCUCCAGAAGGUGGAAUCCAAUAUUAACAUGAUGAUCACUGGAAUGUUCCGUACCAUGAGGGUGGAAGAGCUGCAUCGCUACAGGGACACACUGAGACGUGCUGUGCUGUUCAUGAGUCCCGCCACUGCCAAGGCCUUCAUUACCGAGGUGGUGGAAACUAAUCUUGUGGCUUUUGACUGUCACUGGAUCAUCAUAAAUGAGGAGAUUUCAGACAUGGAUGUGCAGGAGCUGGUGAUGAAGUCUAUAGGUCGCUUGACCCUGGUGAGACAGACUUUCCCAUUGCCGCAAAACACCAGCCAACGUUGCGUCAGGAACAACCACCGCAUCAACACUUCCCUCUGCGACCCCAAAGACCCCAAGGCACAGAUGUUAGAGAUCACCAACCGCUACAUCUACGACACGGUGCUGUUGCUGGCCAACACUUUCCACAGGAAGCUGGAGGACAGGAAGUGGCACAGCAUGGCGAGUCUUUCGUGCAUCCGCAAGGGCUCCAAACCCUGGCAAGGUGGCAAGUCUAUGCUGGAAACUGUGAAGAAGGGAGGUGUAAGUGGUCUGACUAGCCUGCUGGAGUUUAAUGAUAAUGGGAGCAACCCCAACAUCCACUUUGAGAUCCUGGGUACCAACUACGGUGAGGACCGCGGUCGUGGAGUCAGCCGGCUCGCCACCUGGGACCCAAUCCACGGACUGAAUGGAACACUGACCGAUCGAAAGCUGGAAAACAACAUGCGUGGGGUCGUCCUACGGGUGGUCACUGUUCUGGAAGAACCGUUUGUGAUGGUGUCUGAAAAUGUGCUUGGAAAACCUAAGAAGUACCAGGGUUUCUCAAUCGAUGUGCUGGACGCUCUGGCCAACUAUCUUGGCUUCAAAUAUGAGAUCUACGUGGCCCCUGAUCACAAAUAUGGCAGCCAGCAAGCAGAUGGGACCUGGAAUGGUCUUAUUGGAGAGCUGGUUUUUAAGAGAGCAGAUGUAGGUCUUUCAGCCCUGACCAUCACUCCUGAGCGGGAGAGCGUGGUGGACUUCACCACCCGCUACAUGGACUACUCCGUCGGCGUGUUGCUGAGGAAGGCGGAGAGGACGGUGGAUAUGUUUGCAUGCCUGGCGCCUUUCGACCUGUCUCUGUGGGCAUGUAUAGCAGGCACAGUUCUGCUGGUGGGCACUCUGGUGUAUCUGCUCAACUGGUUGAACCCUCCCCGACUGCCGAUGGGCUCUGUCUCCUCCACGACCCUCUACAACUCCAUGUGGUUUGUCUACGGCUCCUUCGUCCAGCAGGGUGGCGAAGUGCCCUAUACAACUCUGGCUACCAGGAUGAUGAUGGGGGUUUGGUGGCUCUUUGCUCUAAUAGUCAUCUCCUCCUACACGGCGAAUCUGGCUGCUUUCCUCACUAUCUCCCGCAUCGAGAACUCCAUUCAGUCACUACAAGAUUUGGCUAAGCAGACAGAUUUGCCAUACGGCACGGUUCUGGACUCUGCCGUCUAUGACCAGGUUCGCAGUAAAGGAAUGAACCCUUUCGAACGAGACCCGAUGUAUUCGCAGAUGUGGCGGAUGAUCAACCGGACAGGAGGAGCCGAAAACAACGUGGAGGAAUCAAAAGAAGGCAUCCGGAAGGUGAAGUACGGACGUUUUGCAUUUGUGUGGGAUGCAGCUGUGCUGGAGUAUGUGGCCAUUAAUGACGAGGACUGUUCGCUUUACACCGUGAGCAACAAUGUGGCUGACAGAGGCUACGGCAUGGCGAUGCAGCACGGCAGUCCUUACAGAGACAUCUUCUCUCAGAGGAUCUUGGAGCUUCAGCAGAAUGGAGACAUGGACAUCCUGAAGCUAAAGUGGUGGCCGAGGGACAGUCCGUGUGACCUGUACUCUCCUGUGGGCACUCGGAAAAGUGGCAGCGCCCUGGACAUCCACAGUUUUGCAGGAGUCUUCUUUGUACUAGCGGCCGGUGUGGUUUUGUCCUGUCUCAUUGCCACAGUGGAGACCUGGUGGACACGAAGAAAGGGCUCCAGAGUCCCAUCGAAGGAGACACAAGCAGACGGACCGUCUGUGAGGCAAGACGAGCCAUGUCAUGAGCCGCAGACUGACAUCAUGCUCACACUCAGGCCGUCCUCCAAUCACCUGUCACCUGCAUGCUGCGCCACACCCCUCGACUCCAAGCUGAGACACACGUUCCCUAUCCCGCAGCGAACUGUCUUCUGCCAGCACUGAGCUACACUCUUUCCACACUUCUCCAAGCCUCGAGCCCACGUAGGUUAUGAAAUCGGCCCCCGGCGGCGAAUGCGCUACGAUAUGUUUUUGUACGAGCUUACGCAAUCAAGCAUUUACUGCUGAAAGAGAAUCCACCCGGGGAGUUACGAGGAAGGUCGUUACCAUUCAUUUCCAAAAACCUUGAGAUUUACGCUGAAAUCUUUGCUUGGAAAUGCAAUAAUGUGGGCGCUUUUUGAUACCAGUCUUUUUUUUCUAGCCCACUGAGAUCUAUCUCUUAGUGCCAGGCCGCAUGGAGACUAGACAAAUUUGGCUGAGAGAAUGCAGAAAGGGGAUUCUGCAAACCUGACAGGCAGUUAAUUUGAGCUGCAGCUUUGGAAGGGAGCAGCCCAUACUCAAGACGUUUGCCCUGCAAGCUGGCGUUCGCAAAACUUCAAUAUUUAUAUUGGUGCUGCACAGCCAGACUAAAGUGCCUAAUUUACUGUUUGUUCCCUGUGCAGCCAUUUAACUGUAGAAUGUUGCUUAGAGUAGGUAUUAAUCAGGAGGCCUGGAACUAGAAAAGUCUUAAUUAGUAAAAUAAUAAACUAAUUUUAGCAGGUAGAAGGUUGUUUAAAUCAGUGGUUUUCAAUCUAAGGGCCUGGACGAGAAUGUUUUGAUGGAUAAAUAUAAAACUAAUUGUAACGCGACCAUCAUUCUCAUUUCUCUCCAUUAAAACUGAUAAAAUAUUGUGCCGAAUCAUAACAUAAAAUGUGUAAAUGAAAUAUAUUAUUAAUAAUCAGCUACCCACUAGAGGGCCUCAGCAGACUUCUAAUGGAGCAUACAACACCAUAGGUAAAAUGUUAGAUAUUUUACUUUGCGUGUGUGUGUAUAUAUACACAGUACCUAAAAUAUGUGUUGUAUUCUGCAACAAAUUAAAUAAUAGUAAAUAAUUUUCACAUUUUAAAUAAUAUUUUCAUAAUAUAAUAUAAUUUGUCCUGUAAACUAGCUUCAUAUAAUAAAAAGAAAAUGGUAUCUUUAUUUCAAAGGAGGUACAAAAUUAUUGUUUCAAAUAGAGGCCCUUUAAAUGUUCACUGUAUUUAAAUGCAGUUUAUUUUUGUCUGACUGAAAUUGUACUAGUCAGGCUUUAGUGAAGUCAGAAUAAGAGACCUAAAUUAUGUGCCUGUACAGUAGAUCUUCAAGUUGUAGGUCUGCAUUUUUGCAUUUUGCACAAACAUCAAAAGACAAAGUUGACGUGCAUGCACUGUGAAAAAAAAAAGUUUGUAUUUUUUUUUAAUUCUGUAAAAUAACAGACAUUAAAUUACAUAAAUUUCCUUACAUUUAAAUUUCCGGUAAAUUUCCUUCAUUUAACGUCUGUUAUUUUACAGUAAAUUUCUGUAAUUAUAGGCCUUUUUUAUGUUUUUUUUUUCAGCACCCCAGCUGCUGGAAAAAUAUAAAAUAAAUAACAGAUUUUUUUACAGUGUAUGUUUUUAAUCUUUCAGGUACUUGAUAACACAGAGAUGUUGUAGCUCCUUUAUAACUUGCAUGAACAAUUGAAAACUUGCAAGACUGAGAACCACUGGUUUAAAGAUUUGAAAGUAGCGCUUUAUCCAUAUACAUGAAUCACACCUUGUCUCAUAAAAAAUAAUAAUAAUAAUAAUAAAAAUUUAUUAUUCAAAGCACAUCAGCGCAUUUUGGAAAACACAAGAUCCCUGGUUAGCUCAACAACACAAAUCAAAGAACAGCCUUCCCACAAUCCCGUUUCCUUCACUCCUAUGUCCUUUUUAACACCACCUUCCACCAAUGUGGUGGUAGGACGGGUACCUAUGAACUGCUCCUUGAUCUCCUGUCCCCACCAACCCAACCAGGUUCCCCAUUGCCCCUUUUUACUCAGGGCCACGCUGCCUGCCACUGGUGGCUGGAAUCAACAAAGUGCUUUAAGCUGGUCCAAAACAGAGGCUUUUUUAUCACGGCAACAAUGUCAGCCCACCUCACCUCGACGAUAAGGAGAUCGACCUGGAGCACCUUCAUCACCGGGUUAACAGCUUGUGCACGGAGGACGA